rnacentral:rRNA from 1 species
AACGCUAGCUACAGGCUUAACACAUGCAAGUCGAGGGGCAGCAUGAACUUAGCUUGCUAAGUUUGAUGGCGACCGGCGCACGGGUGAGUAACACGUAUCCAACCUGCCGAUGACUCGGGGAUAGCCUUUCGAAAGAAAGAUUAAUACCCGAUGGCAUAGUUCUUCCGCAUGGUGGAACUAUUAAAGAAUUUCGGUCAUCGAUGGGGAUGCGUUCCAUUAGGUUGUUGGCGGGGUAACGGCCCACCAAGCCUUCGAUGGAUAGGGGUUCUGAGAGGAAGGUCCCCCACAUUGGAACUGAGACACGGUCCAAACUCCUACGGGAGGCAGCAGUGAGGAAUAUUGGUCAAUGGACGAGAGUCUGAACCAGCCAAGUAGCGUGAAGGAUGACUGCCCUAUGGGUUGUAAACUUCUUUUAUACGGGAAUAAAGUUAGGCACGUGUGCCUUUUUGUAUGUACCGUAUGAAUAAGGAUCGGCUAACUCCGUGCCAGCAGCCGCGGUAAUACGGAGGAUCCGAGCGUUAUCCGGAUUUAUUGGGUUUAAAGGGAGCGUAGGCGGAUGCUUAAGUCAGUUGUGAAAGUUUGCGGCUCAACCGUAAAAUUGCAGUUGAUACUGGGUGUCUUGAGUACAGUAGAGGCAGGCGGAAUUCGUGGUGUAGCGGUGAAAUGCUUAGAUAUCACGAAGAACUCCGAUUG